UACGUAGGGUGCAAGCGUUAAUCGGAAUUACUGGGCGUAAAGCGUGCGCAGGCGGUGAUGUAAGACAGAUGUGAAAUCCCCGGGCUCAACCUGGGAACUGCAUGUCGAACUGUCAGGCUAGAGUAUGGUAGAGGGGUGUGGAAUUUCCUGUGUAGCGGUGAAAUGCGUAGAUAUAGGAAGGAACAUCAGUGGCGAAGGCGACACCCUGGACCGAUACUGACACUGAGGCGCGAAAGCGUGGGUAGCGAACAGG
rnacentral:rRNA from 1 species